ensembl:lncRNA
ACUUUGUAUUCACAGUCCCCAAGCUAGAGUUUCAAGAAAUAUCCCUUUAGAUUUGAUUGUGAAAUAAUCUCAGGACAGUUUUUCUUCCCCCUUCUUCACUUCAUAGGCUAUUUAUAAUUAGGCUUAACAAGGCAGACUCAAGAUGAACAUAAAUGGACCCUAUGGACUGCAGCACACCAGGCUCCUCUGUCCUCCACCAUCCUCCAGAGUUUGCUCAAAUUCAUGUCCGUUGAGCCAGUGAUGCCAUCCAACCAUCUCCUCCUCUGUUGUCCCCUUCUCCUCCUGCCUUCAGUCUUUCCUAGCAUCAGGGUCUUUUCCAGUGAGUUGGCUCUUCACAUCAGGUGACCAAAGUAUUGGAGUUUCAGCUUCAGCAUCAGUCCUUCCAAUGAAUAUUCAGGACUGAUUUUCUUUAGGAUGGACUGGUUUGAUCUCCUUGCAGUCCAAGGGACUUUCAAGAGUCUUCUCCAACACCACAGUUCCAAAGCAUCAGUUCUUCGGUGCUCAGCCUUCUUUAUGUUCCUGCUCCCACAUCUGUACGUGACUACUGGAAGAACCAUAGCUUUGGCUAUACGGACCUUUGUCAGCAAAGUGAUGUCUCUGCUUUACUAAUGAAGUUGCCUUCCCAAUCACUUAGAAAGGAUGGAGCCUUUGGGAAUGUAGGUAGGGGUUUCAGGGACGGUCACACGGAGGAGGUGUGUUCAUUGGAGGAAGAGGGUGCCCUUUAAGAUGUGGAUAUCAGACACAGAAUAGGGACACGGUGGAACACUUUCUAAGCGGCAUCUCCUUUAUUUGCCCAAAUGCCCUAGUUUCAAGUGAGUAACUCCCAAGGUUGACAUGUCAUGUAUGACAACAGUGGUUCUCAAAGUGUGAUCCCCGGGCCAAGGAACCUGUUAGAAAUGCAAAUUCUCAGGCCACCCAGAUCUGCUGAAUGGGCUGGGGACCCAGCUAGUUGUAUUUACCAAGCUCUGCAGGUGACUCUGAGCCAGGCUCAGGUUGGAGAAUCACUGUGUCACAAGAGUGGCUUCCCAGGUGGCGCUGGUGGUAAAGAACCCACCUGCCAAUGGAGGAGAUGUAAGAGACCUGGGUUCAAUCCCUGGGUCGGGAAGAUCCCCUGGAGGAGGGCAUGGCAACCCACUCCGGGAUUCUUGCUUGGAGAAUCCCAUGGACAGGGGAGCCUGGCGGGCUACAGUCCAUGGGGUCAAAGAGAGUCAGACACAACUGAAGCCACUUGGCACAGCACGGUGUCACAAGAAAGUGUGAUCAAUAUUCACACUUUUCCCUCCCUUUCUCUCCUCACUCACACAGGUACACAAACACACACGCAGCCAUGGACGCGUGUAUGGUGUUCAAAGAACUGGAAAACAGCCCUUGUUCUCCUUUUUCCUGGAGAGUUUCUUUCUUUUCAUGUGCAGGGCGCUGAGGCAGGGGUGGAAUUUAAACAAUCCCUAAUGAAGGCAGCCGGCUCCACAUAUUUAUCACAUUACACUGUGCUGUAUUUACCCCUUACCGCUUUGGGUGCAUUUGCAUAUAAUCUUUCAUAAUUCAAUUCACUCGUUUAAAUCAUUUCUUUUUUUUUCACUUAUUUAUUCAGAUGGGAAAAGUUCAUUGUACAGAUCACUGGGGCCCCCCAGUGGCAGCCUUUGAUACUGCCAGCCUCGGAUUUAAUACCUGGAGUUUUGCAGAAAUAGUACCCACUCAAAUCCUUAGCUUUUCACCUGGUUGGUAGCAUCAAUUCACGCUUUGUAUCUGAGGUGGAUUUUAUCGGCAUUGGAGUUGAAAUGUCCCCAGAUGCUCUGGCUUUCCCUUCUUGCAUCUAUGAGACUCCACACUCGGGCACUUGCUGAGUAGGUCAGCGGUCUUCAGUACCUACUGGUCAGUGCACACACCAGCCAGGAAUGGAUGCAAUAAACAGCAGAAAAGAGAAACUUGUCCUGAGAUUCCUCUUCCUCCAUAACCUUGAGGUUUUUCUCCCUAGAGUUUCUGCUCCUACCAUCCCUCCUUUGAAGUUGUCACUGCCCAGAGAAGCUAAGUCCUGCGGGGAGUUUAGAUACAGCCUUCUCCCUCCUGUUUUCUGGAACAUUCUGUGUUCAGCAGCAACGGGCAGGGUCCUCGGGGCGGAGCCCUCGAGGACAGCCCCUGACAGCUGCCCUCCGCAGGAGUCACAGAAGCAGCACCCCUACCCCCGCCCCGUCUGCAUCUCCUGACAUCCCAUCACCGGUCCAGGCCUCCAGCCAGAUGUGGGGCUUGCUUCCUCGGCAGGGCCGUCCUCCCGGAAACCACAGGGCCCGGCAUCGGGUGAACCACAGGCCGGUGGAUAACGAAAGCCGUUUCCACUUAUCCAGGCACUUUGAUAUCCAUCCAGUCUCCCCAGCACGGCCCCUGUGCACUCUGCUUGGGCUGCAGAAGUCACGCUGGUGGGAAGACUGGAAAGGUGCUUUCCGGGAACCUGUGUGUGUGCCUCACCCCGGGCUCCGAUGGUGCUGAUGCAGUGAGGCUGGGUCAGCAGUGACCGCCCCCGCCUGUGACAGCCCGUAAACACCGGUGUCACUGACAGAUCGGGUGAUGCUCUAAAGUUCAGCCCCGCCCCCUUGGCCUUUCCUCGCCCGAGGAGUCAUCCGAGGACACCCACUGCCUUCCCUUCAGUCCACCUGAGCUGUUUU